rnacentral:pre_miRNA from 1 species
CCCUUAACUAUUAAAAGUUUCGUUUUGGUCCCUUAACUUAUUUUUUGGUUUUGUUUUGGUCACUUAACUUAUUUUUUUGAUUUCGUUUUGGUCUUUAACUCUAAUACAUUCAUCCUAACAUAAAGGACCAAAGUGGUUGACGGAGGAAGAGUUAAGGGACCAAAACGAAACCAAAAAGUAAGUUAAGGGAUCAAAACGAAACUUUUAAUAGUUAAGGGA